AUGAGGCUUUGGCUCCAUUUGCUUUUCACUGUAGCGGCUUUACAAGGUGUCCGCUCCCAGGUGCAGCUGGUGGAGUCCGGAGGGGAUGCGAAAAAGCCCGGAGACUCUCUCCGCCUCUCCUGCAAAGCCUCCGGGUUCACCUUCAGAAGCUACUGGAUGAGCUGGGUCCGCCAGGCUCCCGGGAAGGGGCUGGAGUGGGUCGCCAGUAUCAGCAGUGGCAGUGGGAGUAGCACAUACUACGCUGAUGCAGUCAAAGGCCGAUUCACCAUCUCCAGGGACAAUCCCAGCAACCUGCUGUAUCUGCAAAUGAGCGGCCUGAAGCCCGAGGACACCGCCCGCUAUUACUCCUCAUCAAUGAACUGGUCUCCAGCCAGUCUGAGAGCCUAG